rnacentral:rRNA from 1 species
AAACGCUUAAAGUCCAGUCGCGUUGGUUAGGAAUCAGCCUUGGUUUUCCUUGGUGUACUUCCUAAUCGACGGGUCAACAUCAGUUUUGACCGUUGGAUAAAGGUCGAGGGAAUGUGGCACCUUCGGGUGUGUUAUAGCCCUUGAUUGUAUACAGCGGUUGGGACUGAGGAACUCAGCACGCCGAAAGGCCGGGUCUUGUACCACGUUCGUGCUUAGGAUGUUGGCAUAAUGGCUUUAAUCGA